rnacentral:rRNA from 1 species
CGGGACGGGUGAGUAAUGUCUGGGAAACUGCCUGAUGGAGGGGGAUAACUGCUGGAAACGGUAGCUAAUACCCCAUAACGUCGCAAGACCAAAGAGGGGGACCUUCGGGCCUCUUGCCAUCGGAUGUGCCCAGAUGGGAUUAGCUAGUAGGUGGGGUAACGGCUCACCUAGGCGACGAUCCCUAGCUGGUCUGAGAGGAUGGCCAGCCACACUGGAACUGAGACACGGUCCAG